rnacentral:rRNA from 1 species
UGCAAGUCGAGCGGACCGACGGGAGCUUGCUCCCUUAGGUCAGCGGCGGACGGGUGAGUAACACGUGGGUAACCUGCCUGUAAGACUGGGAUAACUCCGGGAAACCGGGGCUAAUACCGGAUGCUUGAUUGAACCGCAUGGUUCAAUCAUAAAAGGUGGCUUUUAGCUACCACUUGCAGAUGGACCCGCGGCGCAUUAGCUAGUUGGUGAGGUAACGGCUCACCAAGGCGACGAUGCGUAGCCGACCUGAGAGGGUGAUCGGCCACACUGGGACUGAGACACGGCCCAGACUCCUACGGGAGGCAGCAGUAGGGAAUCUUCCGCAAUGGACGAAAGUCUGACGGAGCAACGCCGCGUGAGUGAUGAAGGUUUUCGGAUCGUAAAACUCUGUUGUUAGGGAAGAACAAGUACCGUUCGAAUAGGGCGGUACCUUGACGGUACCUAACCAGAAAGCCACGGCUAACUACGUGCCAGCAGCCGCGGUAAUACGUAGGUGGCAAGCGUUGUCCGGAAUUAUUGGGCGUAAAGCGCGCGCAGGCGGUUUCUUAAGUCUGAUGUGAAAGCCCCCGGCUCAACCGGGGAGGGUCAUUGGAAACUGGGGAACUUGAGUGCAGAAGAGGAGAGUGGAAUUCCACGUGUAGCGGUGAAAUGCGUAGAGAUGUGGAGGAACACCGGUGGCGAAGGCGACUCUCUGGUCUGUAACUGACGCUGAGGCGCGAAAGCGUGGGGAGCGAACAGGAUUAGAUACCCUGGUAGUCCACGCCGUAAACGAUGAGUGCUAAGUGUUAGAGGGUUUCCGCCCUUUAGUGCUGCAGCAAACGCAUUAAGCACUCCGCCUGGGGAGUACGGU